rnacentral:rRNA from 1 species
GAUGAACGCUGGCGGCGUGCCUAAUACAUGCAAGUCGAGCGAAUGGCUUAAGAGCUUGCUCUUAUGAAGUUAGCGGCGGACGGGUGAGUAACACGUGGGUAACCUGCCCAUAAGACUGGGAUAACUCUGGGAAACCGGGGCUAAUGCCGGAUAACAUUUUGAACCGCAUGGGUCGAAAUUGAAAGGCGGCUUCGGCUGUCACUUAUGGAUGGCUCCGGGUCGCAUUAGCUAGUUGGUGAGGUAACGGCUCACCAAGGCAACGAUGCGUAGCCGACCUGAGAGGGUGAUCGGCCACACUGGGGCUGAGACACGGCCCAGACUCCUACGGGAGGCAGCAGUAGGGAAUCUUCCGCAAUGGACGAAAGUCUGACGGAGCAACGCCGCGUGAGUGAUGAAGGCUUUCGGGUCGUAAAACUCUGUUGUUAGGGAAGAACAAGUGCUAGUUGAAUAAGCUGACACCUUGACGGUACCUAACCAGAAAGCCACGGCUAACUACGUGCCAGCCGCCGCAGUAA